rnacentral:rRNA from 1 species
GACGUAGGGCGCGAGCGUUGUCCGGAUUUAUUGGGCGUAAAGAGCUCGUAGGCGGCUUGUUGCGUCGACUGUGAAAACCCGCGGCUUAACUGCGGGCUUGCAGUUGAUACGGGCAGGCUAGAGUUCGGUAGGGGAGACUGGAAUUCCUGGUGUAGCGGUGAAAUGCGCAGAUAUCAGGAGGAACACCGGUGGCGAAGGCGGGUCUCUGGGCAGUAACUGACGCUGAGGAGCGAAAGCGUGGGCAGCAAACAGG